CUCGGCCCAAGGCUAGUGUACCAUGUUUCAUAUGUAGCUAGCUAGUCCAAAUGCCCCCAUUUUCUACACUCAUAUAAUUAUAUAAAAUUCAAUUUAAUUAUGUCAUGACUAUGAUCAAAUGUAGCUCAAUAUUUGAAAUUAACUUUCUAACAUUGGACUAAUCAUAGCCACACGCUAGCCCAUGAUGGGCCAAACAUAAUACUAUAGCUUAGCCUG
rnacentral:lncRNA from 1 species